UCUGCAUCUCACACUGGGUGGGUCCAGCCCAGUAGACAGCACAUCCUACAGUAGCUGUCGUCUGAUGGAGACUGGGAAGCUGGACCUCUCUUACUGAACUCAGCUUUGGUAUUGAAGUGAGAAGGAAUUUAAGAUCUGAGGGAACAACUGGGUGAGGUGUGAGUCUGUGGUCCUUUGCCAAAGGAGCAGGAGACGCCAUGCUAGAACAAGCCUAUCAUAGAAAUGUUUAAGGAAAGAAAGAAUAUUUGUCUGAGAUAUUCUAGGAAAUCCAACCCAGAGAUAGACAAUAAGCAGAGAAUAAGAAGAAGAAAAAAAGAAGAAGAAAGCAACAACAACUUGGACAAAGCACAGCUUUUACGAGACAGAAAUGAACUCUUAAAAAGUUAUGCCUGUGUUUAUCUAUCACCAAGUUCAGUGGCUCCUACUUGUAGUUCUAGCUGAGGUUUCAAGGAAACCUGGACAGCUUCCGUCUCAAAAAAAAAAUUUUUUUCAAAAACCCAUCAUGGAGCACAGUUGUCUAGUCACAGAGACGUUUGCCUGGGCAGCGUGCCUUGGUCUCCUGUUCUUCAGUUUUCCAGGCCAAAGUCUCUUCACAAAUAGUUCCUGUGCCCUUUCCUAAAGAAAGUCAUCCACUCCAGGCAUGGUGCCCAUACCUACAAUCCUAGCACUCAGGCAGCUGGGGCAGGAGGGUCCACACCACGCCUCAACACAGUGAGGCUUUGUCUC
rnacentral:lncRNA from 1 species